rnacentral:rRNA from 1 species
UACAGAGGUGGCAAGCGUUGUUCGGAAUUACUGGGCGUAAAGGGCGCGUAGGCGGUCUUGUAAGUCUUGUGUGAAAUCCCUCGGCUCAACUGAGGAACUGCACGGGAUACUGCGAGACUUGAGUUCGGGAGAGGGAAGCGGAAUUCCGGGUGUAGCGGUGAAAUUCGUAGAUAUUGGGAAGAACACCAGUGGCGAAGGCGGCUAACUGGUCCGAUACUGACGCUGAGGUGCGAAAGCGUGGGGAGCAAACAGG